AUGCUGGGCACAGGUGCAAGUAAUUCAGAAAGGACCUACGGGAGAUGCCAUGGAAGUCGUGCUGGAAAGAGGCGAUUCUAUGACAACCGGGCUACGUGUAUAUGUGAAAAUAUUGAAAAUGACCCCUCUUCUGCAAGAGAGAACAAUUCCAAUGAUGAUUCCACCAAGACAGUAGAGGUGAUUGAUAUUGAGUCUGGCGGUGAUUCUUUGGUCAGAGCUCCUGAAUCCUGUAUAAGUGCGUUUUCCUGUCAGAGAAGAACCAAGACACCUACUGUCAUAUCAAAGAAGAACCAAGACACAUACUCAUAUUUGUAG
rnacentral:rRNA from 1 species